rnacentral:rRNA from 1 species
GUGGAUUAGAUACCCGGGUAGUCCACGCUGUAAACGAUGAGUGCUAGGUGUUGGGUAGCGAUACUCAGUGCCGACGUAAACACAAUAAGCACUCCGCCUGGGGAGUACGGUCGCAAGACUGAAACUCAAAGGAAUUGACGGGGACCCGCACAAGCAGCGGAGCAUGUGGUUUAAUUCGAAGCAACGCGAAGAACCUUACCAAGGUUUGACAUCCCCUUGACAGAUGCAGAGAUGUGUCCUCCCCUUCGGGGGCAAGGGAGACAGGUGGUGCACGGCUGUCGCCAGCU